GUUUGAUAUGUGUCAUGUUAUUAUUUAUUGUGUGCUCGAAAUUAAAUGCCAAAAUAUCUUAAAUAUUUAAUGGCAGCUCAAGAGAGAGAGACACACCCACGCGAGUUAAAGUCGGCGCCAUUUGCCCUGCCCAGAAUGUCCUUGUCCUUGGCAUCAGCGCAGACAGCUAUUAAAGUGAGAUGGGCUUAGUUUGCCAGAGAGAGAGCGCAAGUGUUUGCAUGUCAGCAAAUAUUUGCAGCCGCGAUUAUUUGGCUGGCGGCGCCCAUGGAGCCCAGACAUGGUCGCCUGCACUUCUGGCUUUCAGAGCAACGUCUUCCAGUCGUGCCAUAAAUGUUGGACAUUAACGGCACGCGAUGUUGAAUGAUUAUCCUUGAACCAAAAAGCAAAAAAAAGGUAAAAAAAAACUUGAGCCUGGAAUUUGUCUGUUCGUGUUUAUUUCGUCGUUGGAGCACCCAUGAAAAUGCUGGGUCUGUCCUUUGACUUUUGCUACACGCCAAAAAGGAGGAAAAAAAAUAGCCUCAUAAAUUUGUACUUCGUUGUCUGCUUGGACGGCUUUUAAUUUGGCUUGCACAUGCAAGCAUCCUCGACAUUAGCUUUAAACUGGACACAGGACACUCUGCCCCGGCCUGGUCACCAGGACACACUCUCCGGGCUGGGCGCAUGUGUGAGCUUUUAAUCAAAUUCCAUAAAUGAACAGACAACAACUGGCAAUCAAAAUCAACGCCCUAAAAUAUGCUCACCAACUCAAAUUGAACGGGGUGGCAUAAAUUUUUAAAGUUACCAUCACACACUAUGCACACAGUCGAGGGUUGCCACAAACCUAAUCGAGAACGAGGAAGGUUGCUGGUUCAAAGUCGAAACAAAU